UGUAACGUCAUGUGUUUACACUGCACACACUAAAAUUUAAAAUUUUUCCCAACAUGCAUGUAGAUCGAUUGUGCUUCGGGACUCAAGGUUGAUCAUCACGCGUCCGUCAGAUGUAGAAUUGAAACGGCUAACAUAAGCGUCAAGUCUACAUGAUGUUCACUACAGGGUGUUUUCUGCGGAGGUCAGGUCGUCUAGGGCUUCAGGGAUGGGAGAUCUUAUCAGGUGCAAAAAGAUAGGUGGCAUGAAUCAACCUGAAGCUGAAGGAUUAGUGCUGGAGACUGAACUUACCUAAACUGUGGAAGCUGUGGCAUCCCGCCGCCCCGGAAAAAGGUGGGGAGAAAAAAGGGCGACGAGGUGGGGUGAAUAGGGUAGGGGUGCUAUGACAUGCAUAUAAGCGCGAAACAAACCCACGAUCUUUAGUUUUAAUGUUGACGUCAGAAGGUUAACAUACCAGACUCUUUCAUCACCAUAAAACUAUAGUUCUCCGCCAUGGACCUACCAAGAACCUCCACACCCAUGCCCUGCCGAUGCAUGGUCAGGAUUUCGGCGCGAUGUGGCCCGAAUUGCGCGUGUUGCAAAGAGUACCGAAGAUUUAUGGAAAACCACCGGGAGCCCAGGAAUUUACGGAAGGUGUACCGAGUCAAGGGGGUUGAAAAGGCGGCCUGCUGUGACAUCGUGGCUGGACAUGUCCUUUUCAAGUGCUCGCGGAAAUUCCUGAGCAUGAAGGACUUCUUGGAAAAGCUGCGACGGAAGUUUUGGAGGAAGAACAAAACGUUGCGGAUGUCGAGGGAUAUAGUUG